rnacentral:rRNA from 1 species
AGCAGCCGCCGCGGGAAUACGGAGGGUGCAAGCGUUAAUCGGAAUUACUGGGCGUAAAGCGCACGCAGGCGGUCUGACAAGUCAGAUGUGAAAUCCCCGGGCUUAACCUGGGAACUGCAUUUGAAACUGUCAGGCUGGAGUCUUGUAGAGGGGGGUGGAAUUCCAGGUGUAGCGGUGAAAUGCGUAGAGAUCUGGAGGAAUACCGGUGGCGAAGGCGGCCCCCUGGACAAAGACUGACGCUCAGGUGCGAAAGCGUGGGGAGCAAACAGGAUUAGAGACCCCUGUAGUCCCUGUCUCUUAUAC